rnacentral:misc_RNA from 1 species
GAUGAAGAACGUAGCGAAAUGCGAUAAGUAGUGUGAAUUGCAGAAUUCAGUGAAUCAUCGAAUCUUUGAACGCACAUUGCGCCCAUUGGUAUUCCAUGGGGCAUGCCUGUUCGAGCGUCAUUUGUACCUUCAAGCUUUGCUUGGUGUUGGGUGUUUGUCUCGCCUUUGCGUGUAGACUCGCCUUAAAAUAAUUGGCAGCCGGCGUAUUGAUUUCGGAGCGCAGUACAUCUCGCGCUUUGCACUCAUAACGACAGCGUCCAAAAGUACAUUUUACACUCUUGACCUCGGAUCAGGUAGGGAUACCCGCUGAACUUAAGCAUAUCAAUAAGCGGAGGA